rnacentral:rRNA from 1 species
GACGAACGCUGGCGGCGUGCUUAACACAUGCCAGUCGAACGGAAAGGCCUGCUUUCCCUUGUGGAUUGCGGGUACUCGAGUGGCGAACGGGUGAGUAACACGUGAGUGAUCUGCCCCCAACUUGGUUAUAAGCCUGGGAAACUGGGUCUAAUUCCCGAUAGGACUGCAGGGUGGUGCCUGUGGUGGAAAACGAUUUUCUAGUGGUUGGGGAUGAGCUCGCGGCCUAUCAGCUUGUUGGUGGGGUAAUGGCCUACCAAGGCGGCGACGGGUAGCCGGCCUGAGAGGGUGGACGGACACAUUGGGACUGAGAGACGGCCCAGACUCCUACGGGAGGCAGCAGUGGGGAAUAUUGCACAAUGGGCGGAAGCCUGAUGCAGCGACGCCGCGUGGGGGAUGACGGCAUUCGGGUUGUAAACUCCUUUCGACCGCGAGGAAGCCACCUGGUUGGAAGGGUGGUGACGGUAGUGGUAGAAGAAGCACCGGCUAACUACGUG